UACGUGAGGGUGCAAGCGUUAAUCGGAAUUACUGGGCGUAAAGCGUGCGCAGGCGGUUAUGUAAGACAGAUGUGAAAUGCCCGGGCUUAACCUGGGAACUGCAUUUGUGACUGCAUGGCUAGAGUUUGGCAGAGGGGGGUAGAAUUCCACGUGUAGCAGUGAAAUGCGUAGAUAUGUGGAGGAACACCGAUGGCGAAGGCAGCCCCCUGGGUCAAGACUGACGCUCAUGCGACGAAAGCGUGGGGAG
rnacentral:rRNA from 1 species